rnacentral:rRNA from 1 species
GCCUACGGGGGGCAGCAGUGGGGAAUAUUGCGCAAUGGGCGAAAGCCUGACGCAGCGACGCCGCGUGAGGGAUGAAGGUCUUCGGAUCGUAAACCUCUGUCAGCAGGGAAGAACGGUCACUGUGCUAAUCAGCAGUGAAUUGACGGUACCUGCAAGGGAAGCACCGGCUAACUCCGUGCCAGCAGCCGCGGUAAUACGGAGGGUGCGAGCGUUAAUCGGAAUUACUGGGCGUAAAGCGCUCGUAGGCGGUAUGUCAUGUCAAGGGUGAAAUCCCCGCGCUCAACGUGGGAACUGCAUUUGAAACU